GAUGAACGCUGGCGGCGUGCCUAAUACAUGCAAGUCGAGCGAACGGACGAGAAGCUUGCUUCUCUGAUGUUAGCGGCGGACGGGUGAGUAACACGUGGAUAACCUACCUAUAAGACUGGGAUAACUUCGGGAAACCGGAGCUAAUACCGGAUAAUAUUUUGAACCGCAUGGUUCAAAAGUGAAAGACGGUCUUGCUGUCACUUAUAGAUGGAUCCGCGCUGCAUUAGCUAGUUGGUAAGGUAACGGCUUACCAAGGCAACGAUGCAUAGCCGACCUGAGAGGGUGAUCGGCCACACUGGAACUGAGACACGGUCCAGACUCCUACGGGAGGCAGCAGUAGGGAAUCUUCCGCAAUGGGCGAAAGCCUGACGGAGUAACGCCGCGUGAGUGAUGAAGGUCUUCGGAUCGUAAAACUCUGUUAUUAGGGAAGAACAUAUGUGUAAGUAACUGUGCACAUCUUGACGGUACCUAAUCAGAAAGCCACGGCUAACUACGUG
rnacentral:rRNA from 1 species